rnacentral:rRNA from 1 species
AUACGGAGGGUCCAAGCGUUAUCCGGAUUUCAUUGGGUUUAAAGGGUGCGCAGGCGGGCUUGUAAGUCAGUGGUGAAAUUUUGCGGCUUAACCGUAAAACUGCCAUUGAUACUGCAAGUCUUGAAUAUGGUUGAGGUAGGCGGAAUGUGUUGUGUAGCGGUGAAAUGCAUAGAUAUGACACAGAACGCCGAUUGCGAAGGCAGCUUACUAAGCCAUGAUUGACGCUGAGGCACGAAAGCGUGGGGAGCGAACAGGAUUAGAUACCCUGGUAGUCCACGCCGUAAACGAUGAUCACUCGCUGUCUGCGAUACACAGUAGGCGGCUGAGCGAAAGCAUUAAGUGAUCCACCUGGGGAGUACGAUCGCAAGGUUGAAACUCAAAGGAAUUGACGGGGGCCCGCACAAGCGGAGGAACAUGUGGUUUAAUUCGAUGAUACGCGAGGAACCUUACCUGGGCUUAAAUGUAGGUUGCAUAGAUUAGAGAUAGUCUUUUUCUUCGGAACUACCUACAAGGUGCUGCAUGGUUGUCGUCAGCUCGUGCCGUGAGGUGUCGGGUUAAGUCCCAUAACGAGCGCAACCCCUAUCGUUAGUUGCUAGCAGGUAAUGCUGAGGACUCUAGCGAGACUGCCACCGUAAGGUGAGAGGAAGGUGGGGAUGACGUCAAAUCAGCACGGCCCUUAUGUCCAGGGCUACACACGUGUUACAAUGGUCGGUACAAAGGGCAGCUACUUGGUGACAAGAUGCUAAUCCCUAAAGCCGAUCCCAGUUCGGAUUGGAGUCUGCAACCCGACUCCAUGAAGUUGGAUUCGCUAGUAAUCGGAUAUCAGCCAUGAUCCGGUGAAUACGUUCCCGGGCCUUGUACACACCGCCCGUCAAACCAUGGAAGCUGGGGGUGCCUGAAGUCUGUGACCGCAAGGAGCGGCCUAGGGUAAAACUAGUAACUAGGGUUAAGUCGUAACAAGGUAACCGUA